AACGAACGCUGGCGGCAGGCUUAACACAUGCAAGUCGAGCGCCCCGCAAGGGGAGCGGCAGACGGGUGAGUAACGCGUGGGAAUCUACCCAUCUCUACGGAAUAACGCAUGGAAACGUGUGCUAAUACCGUAUACGUCCUUCGGGAGAAAGAUUUAUCGGAGAUGGAUGAGCCCGCGUUGGAUUAGCUAGUUGGUGGGGUAAAGGCCUACCAAGGCGACGAUCCAUAGCUGGUCUGAGAGGAUGAUCAGCCACACUGGGACUAAGACACGGCCCAGACUCCUACGGGAGGCAGCAGUGGGGAAUAUUGGACAAUGGGCGCAAGCCUGAUCCAGCCAUGCCGCGUGAGUGAUGAAGGCCCGAGGGUUGUAAAGCUCUUUCACCGGUGAAGAUAAUGACGGUAACCGGAGAAGAAGCCCCGGCUAACUUCGUGCCAGCCGCCGCAGUAACAC
rnacentral:rRNA from 1 species